rnacentral:rRNA from 1 species
UACAGAGGGUGCAAGCGUUAAUCGGAAUUACUGGGCGUAAAGAGUUGCGUAGGUGGUUUGUUAAGUGAAUAGUGAAAUCGUGCGGCUCAACCGUAUACACAUUAUUUAAACUGGCAGACUUGAGUAUGGUAGAGGUCACUGGAAUUACUAGUGUAGGAGUGAAAUCCGUAGAUAUUAGUAGGAACACCGAUGGCGUAGGCAGGUGACUGGACCAUAACUGACACUGAGGCACGAAAGCGUGGGGAGCAAACGGG